UGAGGAAUAUUGGGUCAAUGGCCGAGAGGCUGAACCAGCCAAGUAGCGUGAAGGAUGACUGCCCUACGGGUUGUAAACUUCUUUUAUACGGGAAUAAAGUCCGCUACGAGUAGCGGUUUGUAUGUACCGUACGAAUAAGCAUCGGCUAAUUCCGUGCCAGCAGCCGCGGUAAUACGGAAGAUGCGAGCGUUAUCCGGAUUUAUUGGGUUUAAAGGGAGCGUAGGCGGGAUGUUAAGUCAGUUGUGAAAGUUUGCGGCUCAACCGUAAAAUUGCAGUUGAUACUGGCGUCCUUGAGUGCGGCAGAGGAAGGCGGAAUUCGUGGUGUAGCGGUGAAAUGCUUAGAUAUCACGAAGAACUCCGAUUG
rnacentral:rRNA from 1 species